GAUGAACGCUGGCGGCGUGCCUAAUACAUGCAAGUCGAGCGAAUGGAUUAAGAGCUUGCUCUUAUGAAGUUAGCGGCGGACGGGUGAGUAACACGUGGGUAACCUGCCCAUAAGACUGGGAUAACUCCGGGAAACCGGGGCUAAUACCGGAUAACAUUUUGAACCGCAUGGUUCGAAAUUGAAAGGCGGCUUCGGCUGUCACUUAUGGCUGGACCCGCGUCGCAUUAGCUAGUUGGUGAGGUAACGGCUCACCAAGGCAACGAUGCGUAGCCGACCUGAGAAGGUGAUCGGCCACACUGGGACUGAGACACGGCCCAGACUCCUACGGGAGGCAGCAGUAGGGAAUCUUCCGCAAUGGACGAAAGUCUGACGGAGCAACGCCGCGUGAGUGAUGAAGGCUUUCGGGUCGUAAAACUCUGUUGUUAGGGAAGAACAAGUGCUAGUUGAAUAAGCUGGCACCUUGACGGUACCUAACCAGAAAGCCACGGCUAACUACGUGCCAGCAGCCGCCGUAA
rnacentral:rRNA from 1 species